rnacentral:lncRNA from 1 species
CAUCUACAGUAGAAAACACAAUUUAUCAUUGAUACAUGCGUCAAAACGCCGAGAAGGAACAAAGUUGUCCCAGUUUCUCAAAUUCAUCGUCUUGAUUUGUACGACGCAUAUAAACUAAGCUCAUGAUGUUUCUUCAAAUAGAAAUCUAUAGGAACUUGAUUUCCUAUUAUGAAAUACUAAAUAAUAAAACCAGAAUAGCAAUAGCAUACUCUUCCGGAACACGAACAAAUAGUCAUUUCCCAGAAACCCUAAUUUCAAGAACCAGUAAUAUGAAAGAUGUGGAUCUUAAAAUUAAAAAUUCUCAAGAACAAAGUAAAUCGCAGAUUAGGUUAAAUAAUUAAUCAACCCACAAGAGCCGGAUGAUUAAAAGGGUGCAACGCUGCUUUGAUUUCAAAUCAAGCGUUUAAAAACUCCAAAAAAUCUCCCCAAACUCAAAAGCAUGACGAUCGAGAAAACCGGAAGAUUAAAAGAGAAGAAGGGUAAAUUUCCCUUACCUUGAUGAUUGUUUAGCUACAAAUCCUGACUUGCAGAAGAUGGAAGACGAAUAGAUUGCUUGAGAGCGAAGUAGAAGCCUUAAACGAGCAACGAAGGAAAUUUUCAGAGAAUUCAAUGAGAAUGAUCGCGACCACUGUAUUUAUAUAGAAUGAGAGAUCCGUGACCGACACGGAAUCGGACGGCUGGAAAGUACUUUUCCUGUGCUUCCUGGAUCUUCAAGCGAACGGUUAAGAUGCGCGUUUUAAAAUUUG